GGAAGAUCAGCAAGCAAUGGAGCUUCUUAUGUCCAACAUCCAUGAGAUAUUUGGGGAAAUUGCAGAAGAUCUAAAUACGCUUAUUAGAAUAAAUGAACCCUACGUGGAUGCAAACGGCAGGCCUCACAAAAAUAUUAGAAUCAAGAACACGUAAAUAUUGGAUGAUCCUUUUGAAGAUCCUUCCAACUAGCUGAGUUGAUUCCUGAUGCUUCACUUGAAGGAAAACCAAAAGAUGAGGUAAUAAAUCACUAUAAACUUGCCUUUAAACCACUCUUACACGUGUAUUGUUACUUUUUGGUUUUG